rnacentral:rRNA from 1 species
GCUCGAGUGGCGAACGGGUGAGUAACACGUGAGUAACCUGCCCUUGACUUUGGGAUAACUCCAGGAAACUGGGGCUAAUACCGGAUAGGAGCUCCUGCUGCAUGGUGGGGGUUGGAAAGUUUCGGCGGUUGGGGAUGGACUCGCGGCUUAUCAGCUUGUUGGUGGGGUAGUGGCUUACCAAGGCUUUGACGGGUAGCCGGCCUGAGAGGGUGACCGGCCACACUGGGACUGAGAUACGGCCCAG